rnacentral:lncRNA from 1 species
AAACAUUUAAUUACUAAGAAUACAUAUAUACAUGUAUUUAGAUAAGAUCCGUGGCGAAACUUGUUGCGAUGUGUCUUCUAAUAGGUAGUGAUGUCCAUGCAUUGUUAGGCCUAGUCCAUGUGGUAGGUACAACAUUGAGAUGAAUGUAUGCAUCUGAUGACUUCGAUGUCAACAAAAGAAAAGACCUGGAUGCCAUGAUACCAUGCAUAGCAGCCAUAUCUAGGCUGACGCCAGCUGGAAGCGAGAAGACAACGCCAUCUAGCAAGGCUGGAUGGUUGCCACAAAACAUAACACAAUCUCUCCCAUACAGACUCAUACUCUAUAUUAAUCUGUAUUGCAUCAAAUUGAAAUUGCAUUUAUUUAUGAAAAUAGUGUAUAUAAUAUGAAACAUAAUAAUUAUUUUUUGUGGCAUUUUGUAACACAAUAGCGCCU